AUUGAACGCUGGCGGCAGGCUUAACACAUGCAAGUCGAGCGGAGAGAGGUAGCUUGCUACUGAUCUUAGCGGCGGACGGGUGAGUAAUGCUUAGGAAUCUGCCUAUUAGUGGGGGACAACAUUUCGAAAGGAAUGCUAAUACCGCAUACGUCCUACGGGAGAAAGCAGGGGAUCUUCGGACCUUGCGCUAAUAGAUGAGCCUAAGUCGGAUUAGCUAGUUGGUGGGGUAAAGGCCUACCAAGGCGACGCUCUGUAGCGGGUCUGAGAGGAUGAUCCGCCAAACUGGGACUGAGACACGGCCCAGACUCCUACGGGAGGCAGCAGUGGGGAAUAUUGGACAAUGGGCGGAAGCCUGAUCUAGCCAUGCCGCGUGUGUGAAGAAGGCCUUAUGGUUGUAAAGCACUUUAAGCGAGGAGGAGGCUACUUUAGUUAAUACCUAGAGAUACUGGACGUUACUCGCAGAAUAAGCACUGGCUAACUCUGUGCCAGCCGCCGCAGUAAUAC
rnacentral:rRNA from 1 species